ACCCAUCAGUAUUUUUUCCGUUUCCAAUUUUAUCCCUGAUUUUUUCAAUUUCAGAUGAAGGAUUAUGCUAUCUCCAAUAUUUCGAUGUUUUCAUUCUAUCAUCUUCUUCGAACCAGUUUCAUCUGCUAACGAAGAGGCUUUGAAGGUAAUUUCAGAGCAUCGAUUUUUAUGUAUUCUCCAGAUUUUAUUGUUGGCGAAGAACAGAUCUUGCGCUUAGAAAUUCUGACGGUUUAUGUGAAUUCAUGCCGAUUUUCGAUCUAGGGUUCUUAUUUGUGUAAUAUUUUUAUGAUAUUGGGGAAUUGUAAUUACAUAGGUAAUAUGUGGCAGCAAUUUUCCAUUGAUUUGUUGUUUUGUCUUACCCAAUUAUUCAUUGAUUGAUUUUUAAUUUUCGGCCAUGUCCUGUCGAAAAAUUCAUGUUUGGAUUCGAUGCGUCCCGACAGCUGCGAUUUAGCUCACGGUUGUUGGACUAUGACUACAUGAUACUUUGUCUUCUUUACAUCCCUACUAUAAGGUAUUGAAAGCUACACUUCUUCUGCUUGGUUUGAACUCGCUAUAUGUAGAUCGUGAUUAGCUAUUUCAACUUUAUUUUUGUGGAUUAGAUGUACGCAAAUUGAACAAAUAUGCUUGUUUGAUGUCUGAUUUUUUUCUGAUUCCCGGAUGCCAUAUCUCUUGAAAAUUGUUGUGUUUAUUAUAUUAUAAAAUGAUAUACAUUUCUUUUUUUUAAUCACAUUAGGCUAAUUGCAUAACAAUAUGCCAUCUCGAUGCCGUAUAAAUGCUUAUGUCUACUCGAUGGUUGAAGAGAUUUUGCAUCAGCUUAUGUUGCAACUUGUAAUCGUUGCCGAUCACAUAACUUGUAUUAAAACAAGGAAGAGGAAACGGGCUGUAGUGACAGAGCCUUAUCAUAUCUUGCCCCGUAUCCCCGAUCAAAUAAAACACAUGAAUAGGCUCACGAAUGUCAGUGACGUUGACUGCAUUAUAAACUUACGUAUGGAUCGCAAUACGUUUGGGCGGCUUUGCCAAUUGUUACGACAGUUAGGGGGUUUACACAAUAGUAGGUAUAUUGGGGUUGAAGAGCAGGUCGCGAUGUUCCUUUCAGUGCUUGCACAUCACAAAAAAAAUAGAGUAGUGCGUUUCGAUUUUCGUAGAUCAGGGGAUACCAUAACUCGGUACGUACAUAUUGUCCUAAAGGCUGUAUUGUCUCUCCAUGUGCUGUUGUUUGUGAAGCCUUGUCCUAUUGCGGAUGAUUGCAUUGACCCCCGAUGGAGGUGGUUUAAGGUAACUGAAUUUCUUAGUAUCUGGACGUGUUGUGAAAGAUGAUUAACAUUUUGUUGAAAAAACAUACUUUAUUGAUUACAGGGUUGCUUAGGGGCGUUAGAUGGGACAUAUAUCGAUGUGAUGGUGCCCAACCAAGAUAAACCCCGCUACAGGACACGUAAGGGACACAUUUCGACUAAUACCUUGGCGGUUUGUGAUCGACAUCUCAAGUUUGUUUAUGUACUUCCCGGCUGGGAGGGCUCUGCGGCUGACUCGCGAGUUCUACGAGAUGCACUCAAUAGACCUCAUGGUUUGCGAGUACCAAAAGGUAAGCUAUCUUGUAUACUCCAGCUGUAUAUAUCAAGUUAGCUUAAUGCAUUAUAGUAAUCUGCAUAAAUUGUUUGUGUAAAUUAACUUAUUGUUUGCCUCAUUGUAUAGGAAAUUAUUACUUAUGCGAUAACGGUUAUGCUAAUUCUGAGGGAUUCCUCGCACCGUUUAAGGGAGUUCGUUAUCACCUCAAGGAAUGGGGUCCACAAGCAGCAAGACCACAAAACGCGCAAGAGCUCUUCAACCUACGACACGCGAAGGCUCGGAAUGUCAUUGAACGUGCUUUUGGUGUCAUGAAAAUGCGAUGGGGCAUCUUAAGGAGCACUUCGUAUUACCCAAUUCAAAUUCAGAAUCGGUUAAUUAUGGCGUGCUUCGUGCUUAACAAUUUUAUUCGGAGUGAGAUGGCGGUCGACCCCAUAGAAGAGCAAUUCGAUAGACUUAUUGAUGAGAGUGCAGACAUUCAAGGGGAACAUGGCCCUUAUCAAUAUGUGGUUGAGUCAUCACCAGAGUGGAAUGCGGCGAGGGAUGAGCUAUCUCGUUCUAUGUGGCAGCAGUACCUUGCAAAUUGAUUAUGAAAUGUCUUUUCGACUUUGGUUGUUUAGUGUGAUUUUGUGUGCUAGUAUUUUAGUCGACUGCCAUAGAAAUUGGUUGUCAAGUUUGUAAGCUAUUUGACUCACAUCUCAUUCAGAACAAGUGUUGUUGCUAUUUUUUUAUUCUUGUUCUUACCUUUGUUAUUUGCAGGCAUGGAAAAUAACGAUGGUGCUGUUUUUUUUUACAUGUCAUUUUAUAAUCAUUCACCUUACCACAAAUGGUCUAUUCACUAGUUGGGAAUUAAAAGAGGAUUUACAAUUCAACAAUAAAGUCAUCAUUGCAUGUAUUUAAUAUUGGGGGUUAGCAAUCUAAUCCAAAUGACAAUUCAACCACCGUAUUAAUGAGGAGCAUUGAUCAAGCUCGAAAGACACCAACUCUCUAUGUAGAAAUUGGAUAUAAAUUGGUGCUCUUCCUCAAAGAAGCAGCUGGGAAUUUACUACCAACACAACCAUGGCAAAAUUUGACCACAUUCCAGAGCAAGGUUAUUUUCUUUACCCAUCCAAAUGGAAGGCACCCUUCGACCAACAUCUCAUCCAUUGCCUCUUGCUAAUGAAGGUCGAGGUUCAUCCCACUCCACCACAUAAAUCACCACAUGCACAAAUAUCUGCACUCUCAAGACUCAACGAUCACCUUGGUACGAACUUCGUCCUCAUCGAUGUUGAGGAGCGUGUGGAGUUUCUGGAGAUCCGCUACAACACAUUCCGAGCAUUGACGAUGUUGUCGGACACUCAAUGGGAGCCUGCCUCAAAUAUGAUCUUCGCGACAGACAAAGUAUGGGAAAUGAUUUUUAAGGUAUUCUCAAACUUCUCCUUAUUAGCUCAAUGACGCCUUUGUUCAAUCACUAAUAACAGUUGUUUUUAUGUCAAGGAAAAUGACUUGGCGAAAGCAUAUCUACGUGGAGGUGACCCGUGUUAUACCCAGCUGUGCGAUCUCUUCGGCGCAGACAACAUAAAACAUGAGCUAUCUCAUACUAUUGUUCUCAUCAGCGACUCGCCACAAGUCAAGAAACAUGAGCUAUCUCAUACUGUUGUUCUCAUCAGCGACUCGCCACAAGUCAAGAAAUUGGAGCUCAUUGAAGUGGGUGAUUCGUCUAGUGACGAGGAAGUGAACUCGCCAAUCGAUGGGCCCAACAAGAACGUUGUCCGCAAGCUUACCUUCGUGAGCGGG
rnacentral:lncRNA from 1 species